UUAAGCGACUAAGCGUACACGGUGGAUGCCCUGGCAGUCAGAGGCGAUGAAGGACGUGCUAAUCUGCGAUAAGCGUCGGUAAGGUGAUAUGAACCGUUAUAACCGGCGAUUUCCGAAUGGGGAAACCCAGUGUGAUUCGUCACACUAUCAUUAACUGAAUCCAUAGGUUAAUGAGGCGAACCGGGGGAACUGAAACAUCUAAGUACCCCGAGGAAAAGAAAUCAACCGAGAUUCCCCCAGUAGCGGCGAGCGAACGGGGAGCAGCCCAGAGCCUGAAUCAGUGUGUGUGUUAGUGGAAGCGUCUGGAAAGGCGCGCGAUACAGGGUGACAGCCCCGUACACAAAAAUGCACAUACUGUGAGCUCGAUGAGUAGGGCGGGACACGUGGUAUCCUGUCUGAAUAUGGGGGGACCAUCCUCCAAGGCUAAAUACUCCUGACUGACCGAUAGUGAACCAGUACCGUGAGGGAAAGGCGAAAAGAACCCCGGCGAGGGGAGUGAAAAAGAACCUGAAACCGUGUACGUACAAGCAGUGGGAGCCUCUUUAUGGGGUGACUGCGUACCUUUUGUAUAAUGGGUCAGCGACUUAUAUUCUGUAGCAAGGUUAACCGAAUAGGGGAGCCGAAGGGAAACCGAGUCUUAACUGGGCGUUAAGUUGCAGGGUAUAGACCCGAAACCCGGUGAUCUAGCCAUGGGCAGGUUGAAGGUUGGGUAACACUAACUGGAGGACCGAACCGACUAAUGUUGAAAAAUUAGCGGAUGACUUGUGGCUGGGGGUGAAAGGCCAAUCAAACCGGGAGAUAGCUGGUUCUCCCCGAAAGCUAUUUAGGUAGCGCCUCGUGAAUUCAUCUCCGGGGGUAGAGCACUGUUUCGGCAAGGGGGUCAUCCCGACUUACCAACCCGAUGCAAACUGCGAAUACCGGAGAAUGUUAUCACGGGAGACACACGGCGGGUGCUAACGUCCGUCGUGAAGAGGGAAACAACCCAGACCGCCAGCUAAGGUCCCAAAGUCAUGGUUAAGUGGGAAACGAUGUGGGAAGGCCCAGACAGCCAGGAUGUUGGCUUAGAAGCAGCCAUCAUUUAAAGAAAGCGUAAUAGCUCACUGGUCGAGUCGGCCUGCGCGGAAGAUGUAACGGGGCUAAACCAUGCACCGAAGCUGCGGCAGCGACACUAUGUGUUGUUGGGUAGGGGAGCGUUCUGUAAGCCUGUGAAGGUGUACUGUGAGGUAUGCUGGAGGUAUCAGAAGUGCGAAUGCUGACAUAAGUAACGAUAAAGCGGGUGAAAAGCCCGCUCGCCGGAAGACCAAGGGUUCCUGUCCAACGUUAAUCGGGGCAGGGUGAGUCGACCCCUAAGGCGAGGCCGAAAGGCGUAGUCGAUGGGAAACAGGUUAAUAUUCCUGUACUUGGUGUUACUGCGAAGGGGGGACGGAGAAGGCUAUGUUGGCCGGGCGACGGUUGUCCCGGUUUAAGCGUGUAGGCUGGUUUUCCAGGCAAAUCCGGAAAAUCAAGGCUGAGGCGUGAUGACGAGGCACUACGGUGCUGAAGCAACAAAUGCCCUGCUUCCAGGAAAAGCCUCUAAGCAUCAGGUAACAUCAAAUCGUACCCCAAACCGACACAGGUGGUCAGGUAGAGAAUACCAAGGCGCUUGAGAGAACUCGGGUGAAGGAACUAGGCAAAAUGGUGCCGUAACUUCGGGAGAAGGCACGCUGAUAUGUAGGUGAAGCGACUUGCUCGUGGAGCUGAAAUCAGUCGAAGAUACCAGCUGGCUGCAACUGUUUAUUAAAAACACAGCACUGUGCAAACACGAAAGUGGACGUAUACGGUGUGACGCCUGCCCGGUGCCGGAAGGUUAAUUGAUGGGGUUAGCGGUAACGCGAAGCUCUUGAUCGAAGCCCCGGUAAACGGCGGCCGUAACUAUAACGGUCCUAAGGUAGCGAAAUUCCUUGUCGGGUAAGUUCCGACCUGCACGAAUGGCGUAAUGAUGGCCAGGCUGUCUCCACCCGAGACUCAGUGAAAUUGAACUCGCUGUGAAGAUGCAGUGUACCCGCGGCAAGACGGAAAGACCCCGUGAACCUUUACUAUAGCUUGACACUGAACAUUGAGCCUUGAUGUGUAGGAUAGGUGGGAGGCUUUGAAGUGUGGACGCCAGUCUGCAUGGAGCCGACCUUGAAAUACCACCCUUUAAUGUUUGAUGUUCUAACGUUGACCCGUGAUCCGGGUUGCGGACAGUGUCUGGUGGGUAGUUUGACUGGGGCGGUCUCCUCCUAAAGAGUAACGGAGGAGCACGAAGGUUGGCUAAUCCUGGUCGGACAUCAGGAGGUUAGUGCAAUGGCAUAAGCCAGCUUGACUGCGAGCGUGACGGCGCGAGCAGGUGCGAAAGCAGGUCAUAGUGAUCCGGUGGUUCUGAAUGGAAGGGCCAUCGCUCAACGGAUAAAAGGUACUCCGGGGAUAACAGGCUGAUACCGCCCAAGAGUUCAUAUCGACGGCGGUGUUUGGCACCUCGAUGUCGGCUCAUCACAUCCUGGGGCUGAAGUAGGUCCCAAGGGUAUGGCUGUUCGCCAUUUAAAGUGGUACGCGAGCUGGGUUUAGAACGUCGUGAGACAGUUCGGUCCCUAUCUGCCGUGGGCGCUGGAGAACUGAGGGGGGCUGCUCCUAGUACGAGAGGACCGGAGUGGACGCAUCACUGGUGUUCGGGUUGUCAUGCCAAUGGCACUGCCCGGUAGCUAAAUGCGGAAGAGAUAAGUGCUGAAAGCAUCUAAGCACGAAACUUGCCCCGAGAUGAGUUCUCCCUGACUCCUUGAGAGUCCUGAAGGAACGUUGAAGACGACGACGUUGAUAGGCCGGGUGUGUAAGCGCAGCGAUGCGUUGAGCUAACCGGUACUAAUGAACCGUGAGGCUUAACCU
rnacentral:rRNA from 1 species